AGGUCGCAGAGAAUCGGUGGCUGCGACUGUUUAACAAAAACACAGCACUGUGCCAACACGAAAGUGGACGUAUACGGUGUGACGCCUGCCCGGUGCCGGAAGGUUAAGUGAUGGGGUGCAAGCUCUUGAUCGAAGCCCCGGUAAACGGCGGCCGUAACUAUAACGGUCCUAAGGUAGCGAAAUUCCUUGUCGGGUAAGUUCCGACCCGCACGAAUGGCGUAACGAUGGCCACACUGUCUCCUCCUGAGACUCAGCGAAGUUGAAGUGUUUGUGAAGAUGCAAUCUCCCCGCUGCUAGACGGAAAGACCCCGUGAACCUUUACUGUAGCUUUGCAUUGGACUUUGAAGUGGUUUGUGUAGGAUAGGUGGGAGGCUAAGAAGCCAGGACGCUAGUUCUGGUGGAGCCGACCUUGAAAUACCACCCUGACCCCUUUGAGGUUCUAACCUUGGUCCGUAAUCCGGAUUGGGGACAGUGCAUGGUAGGCAGUUUGACUGGGGCGGUCUCCUCCCAAAGUGUAACGGAGGAGUUCGAAGGUUACCUAGGUACGGUCGGAAAUCGUGCUGAUAGUGCAAUGGCAAAAGGUAGCUUAACUGCGAGACCGACAAGUCGAGCAGGUGCGAAAGCAGGACAUAGUGAUCCGGUGGUUCUGAAUGGAAGGGCCAUCGCUCAACGGAUAAAAGGUACUCCGGGGAUAACAGGCUGAUACCGCCCAAGAGUUCACAUCGACGGCGGUGUUUGGCACCUCGAUGUCGGCUCAUCACAUCCUGGGGCUGUAGCCGGUCCCAAGGGUAUGGCUGUUCGCCAUUUAAAGUGGUACGUGAGCUGGGUUCAAAACGUCGUGAGACAGUUUGGUCCCUAUCUGCAGUGGGCGUUGGAAGUUUGACGGGGGCUGCUCCUAGUACGAGAGGACCGGAGUGGACGCACCUCUGGUGUACCGGUUGUGACGCCAGUCGCAUCGCCGGGUAGCUAAGUGCGGAAGAGAUAACCGCUGAAAGCAUCUAAGCGGGAAACUUGCCUGAAGAUGAGACUUCCCUGGAGGCUUGACCUCCCUGAAGAGUCGUUCGAGACCAGGACGUUGAUAGGUCGGGUGUGGAAGCGCUGUGAGGCGUGAAGCUAACCGAUACUAAUUGCUCGUGAGGCUUGAUCCUAU
rnacentral:rRNA from 1 species